UCGAGAAUUUUUGGCAAUGGGGGAAACCCUGACCAAGCGAUGCCGCGUGCGGGAUGAAGGCCUUCGGGUUGUAAACCGCUGUCAGUGGGGAGAAAAGGACCGGUGUACCCGGUUUUGAUCUAUCCGCAGAGGAAGUGUGGGCUAAGCUCGUGCCAGCAGCCGCGGUAAGACGAGCCACACGAACGUUAUUCGGAAUUACUGGGCUUAAAGGGUGCGUAGGCUGCGCGGAAAGUUGGGUGUGAAAUCCCUCGGCUCAACCGAGGAACUGCGCCCAAAACUGCCGUGCUCGAGGAAGAUAGAGGUAAGCGGAACUUACGGUGGAGCGGUGAAAUGCGUUGAUAUCGUAAGGAACACCUGUGGCGAAAGCGGCUUACUGGGUCUUUUCUGACGCUGAUGCACGAAAGCUAGGGGGAGCAAACGGGAUUAGAUACCCCGGUAGUCCUAGCCGUAAACUCUCAGCACUGAAUUGAAGGGCCUCCCAUACGCCCUUCAGUUGAAGCGAAAGUGUUAAGUGCUGCCG
rnacentral:rRNA from 1 species